ACUUGUCUAGCUCAGUUGGUAAAAUACAAGGCCCAUUAACCUCGUGGUCGUGGGUUCGAGCCACAUGGUGGGUG
rnacentral:tRNA from 7 species